UGCUGGAGGUUUAAAUUAGAUGUUCCAACCAGAGGAGGGCUGAGAUGUGGCCGUGCUUCACGACCUGCUCAACCAAGGGGAGGAGAGGGGCUCCGCAGGGAGAGAGGAAGGCACAAGCACACAGAGGAGAAAAGAUCCGAGUUUGAUGACGGACGUGCUGACCUAAAGCUCUAGGACCCGCACUGGUUCUGCGUUCUAGCCUGGAGAAUUAGGCAGAGUGCUUCUCUCCUUGUUUGAUGCCCAAAACAAGAUGCAGGAACCAGUUAAACUGCACCGUCCACCCUUUGUCUCUGCAAACUUCGAUCUGAUCCAGGAAAUACUUCUUAGCUUCCUCCUCGUUCUUCCCCACGGUUAGGGCAUCCCGAAUAUAUUCGAUAUCUUCUUUGCUGGUUAACUGGGGCAUUCCCGUCAUCAGCAUCAUGGAGAACAGGAUGAUCAGCAGGUUUGUGUGGUGACGAAGGGCGAGGUAAGCCUUGACACACACGUCCUGCAUAAAGGAAAAAGGAAAAGACAGCGCUGUUAGCCUUGUCGCGGUAACUGAGUGGGCCCAUUUAUACGGCCUUAUCCUAUCCUCUCGGAUGGAAGCCGUCACGAAGAGGGCAGGUCCCGCGCCUCAGAUGGAAGCCUUGAUGAGAACGUAGGACUGUGUUUAUACCCUCUGAAGCACGCUGGUGUCAUCACCCAGGGUCCGGCUGGGCUCCAGGAAAAUUAACUGAUAGGCUACGUUUCAUCUUUUUUCUUACUCUACCUUUUACGUCCAUUUCUGUCCCAGGACAUUGAGGGUAGAAAUGUCUGUAGGCUCUGCACAGGGGUGAGUCCGUUUUUGAACACCAUACUGGAAGCAGUAAACUUGAUGUAAGCCUAAGUGUUUGGCAAUGGCUCACGGAAUCCAGAGAAAUGAAGGCAAUGCGGUGUUGGGAAAUUUUUGUUCUCAUCUUUAUUUUACAAUUUGUUCUAGUCUAAGAAAACAGAUGUAUUAGCGUUUUGCUGACGCUCAGAAUGUUGAAUAAAUGUGGGGAUUUUAGUACAAAUGCUGGAUACUGAGUGAGAGAGAGGGCUUUAAGCCAAUGCUUUGUCUAGACCUCCUUCAAAAGCCUUUGAGCAGAUGAGAUAGGUGAGUUGGGUCCACUUGGGAAGCAAGGCUAAGGGCUUAUGCCAAUUAAAGGAUCCCAAAGUAGAGAAGAAAUUGCGAGGUUCUCAAUUUUGCAGUAUGAGAACCACCCAGUCCUAAUAUCGUAACUUGGCAAAGAUACCGUGUUAAAGAAAACAGGAUUUAAUGAUUACAGAUAGAAAUAUUUCAAAUAAAAUAGAGUAAAAUGCUAAAAGAAUAA